AUUGAACGCUGGCGGCAGGCCUAACACAUGCAAGUCGAACGAGUGGCGGACGGGUGAGUAAUGUCUGGGAAACUGCCUGAUGGAGGGGGAUAACUACUGGAAAAGGUAGCUAAUACCGCAUACCAUCAUAUUUGCCCAGCUGGGAUUGGCUUGUUGGUGGGGUAACGGCUCACCAGGGCGACGAUCCCUAGCUGGUCUGAGGGGAUGACCAGCAAAACGGGAACUGAGACACGGCCCAGCCUCCUACGGGAGGCAGCAGUGGGGAAUAUUGCACAAUGGGCACAAGCCUGAGGCAGCCAUGCCGCGUGUAUGAAGAAGGCCUUCGGGUUGUAAAGUACUUUCAGCGGGGAGGCGUUACCCGAAGAAGAAGCACCGGCUAACUCCGUGCCAGCAGCCGCGGUAAUUC
rnacentral:rRNA from 1 species